rnacentral:rRNA from 1 species
UACAGAGGGGGCAAGCGUUGUUCGGAAUACUGGGCGUAAAGGGCGCGUAGGCGGCCUACUAAGUCGAACGUGAAAUCCCCGGCUUAACCCGGGAACUGCGUCCGAUACUGGUUGGGCUUGAAUCCGGGAGAGGGAUGUGGAAUUCCAGGUGUAGCGGUGAAAUGCGUAGAUAUCUGGAGGAACACCGGUGGCGAAGGCGGCCCACUGGCUCGACACUGACGCUGAGGCGCGAAAGCGUGGGGAGCGAACAGG